rnacentral:lncRNA from 1 species
GUGAUGGAGUCGAAUAAUAGUUUCGACAAAGAAAAUAAGUAAGGUGGAAGAGUCGUGAUUGUUAGUGACUAAUCUAACCACCUUGUAAAUGUUGAAAAUAGUUUGACGCUCAACGAGCUAGGUGAAAGGCUUGGGGAAGGAAGCGGGUCAAACGAAUCAAGAAUGAAGGAAAAAGCAUAACUCGGAUGCAAGGUAAGUAUAGCUUACACUAGUCUUAAAUUGUGGAAUAUUUUCUCAUCAUAUAAAUUACGAAUGAGAUAUCUAAACAAUUGAAAUAUGAUGUUCCGUCGUGUAGUCGAACGGAACAAGAUAAUCAAAGAUGAAAGAAACCGUAAUAAUGGUUAAAAAGAAGUAAAUCGAUAAUUCGGUCAUAUUAUGUCGAAGGUAAUAAACGGUUUAUAAGUUAAAAUGACCGUACGGUGUUAAACGGAACGAGUCAUGUAGAGGAGAUGAUAAUAAAUAUCAUCUCGCAAAGAUAAACGGUCAAUUCGGUCAAACGGGUCGAAAGGUGUAGACAACACAUUUUGACUAUAUAGACUAAUGAUUCUUUUGUCGAGUUAUAUGCUUACAGGAAUAGAUAUCCAAUGGAUAUUCGCAUCGCUCUUAAUUAGCGAAUAUAAAGCAAGGUAUUAAAACCGGGUUAAUAAGUUGAUCCGGGCCAGGUAUGUAUAAUAGAUCAACUCCUCAUUUAGAACUUGGAGAUCUAUGUGAAUUAGGCAAAGUAAAAUGGGAUAUUCGGUUACCUUAAAAGGUAAACUGAAGGAUUUAAAUUAUAGAUAGAGCGUUUUGAAAACAAGAUUUGCUUAAAAAUGAGAUUUUGGGUGUGCUUGGCUUAAGCAAGCCCUUCGUCGUAAAAGAAGGGUUAAAAGUGACCAAAACGCCCUUGUAAGUAAAAUUAAGCAAACAACCCUUAGAAGUAGCUUGAAAACGAGUUUUAUAAUCAAGUCAAUACUUAGAAUAAGUAUAGAAACUGAAAGAGGUAUUUUAUUUGUCAUAUGGCACUAAUUGAGUUUUUGCCGUAAAAUAAAGAGUCGAAAGGUAAAAUUUGUUUUUUUUAGAUUACCACAUUAAACCCACCAUAAAUACAGUUGUGGUGGGAGAUUAUAGGAUAAGAAAUGUGGUGAUGGAAUGUUAGAAGCAAUCGAAUGCAAUUUUAGGCUAGAAAGUGCGUAAUUACCCUUAACGGGUCAAAAUAGAAGUAUUAGUAAAACGGGUUAAGAAUGUGUAAUAACCCGUGAUUUGAACCUUGUGCAAUAGGAAAUAAUCAUGGUAAUUUGUUUACAAAAGAAACAAGGGCCACAAACAAGUUUGUUAAACGAAAUCACGAACGGGUCAAAAUUUGGCAAAAGAGUAAUAAGCCGGAGAUUUAAAAGUCUUAAAUUUUGUUAAUCCGGAUGUUGGAUUUUAACUCCAUUUGAUGGGGGAUUAAAUUACAAACACGUAGGAAGAAACGGUAGGUCAAACGGAUAAGCGGAUUGAAAGAUACGAAAGUUUUCGUGUCAAUAAGUGGCAAAUUGGAGAAGCUGAAUGCAGGGGCCACCGUAAAUUACGGUGUCCACCGUAAUGUACGGUGGAGCUGAAAAACGCUACGGUGGAUCUCUUCUGAUUUACGGUGGGCCCUGUAUGAAAAUGUAUUUUUUUAGGAAGUUUCGCUUCCCGAACUCGUUUUGACACAUUUUAAUCUCCGUAUGACUAAAGCAUUUCAUGUUUAUGAAAUGUAGGUACACUUUGGAUGCCGAAAGACGAUCAAGCUCAACGAAGAACCGAACACGAUAUAGAUACACGCUUCCGCACUUUGCCACGUUGUAAAUUUUAAACAACGAAUUCAAUCACGUGAUGUAGAAUAACUUAUAAUUUGUAAAAGUU